rnacentral:rRNA from 1 species
UACGGGGGGGGGCAAGCGUUUGUUCGGAAUUACUGGGCGUAAAGGGUGCGUAGGCGGUCUGUUAAGUUGGAUGUGAAAACCCGGAGCUCAACUCCGGGCCUGCAGUCGAUACGGGCAGACGUAGAGUGCGGUAGGGGAGACUGGAAUUCCUGGUGUAGCGGUGAAAUGCGCAGAUAUCAGGAGGAACACCAGUGGCGAAGGCAGGAUCUCUGGGCCGUAACUGACGCUGAGGAGCGAAAGCAUGGGGGAGCGAACAGG